GAACAUUUCUAAAGGUCCUAACUAACAUUUUUACUCAAAUUGAGUUAUCACUAUUUUCCAAAUCCUCAGCAUAAAAUUUAACGAUUUUCAUUUAAAAGUUAACUUUUUUUUAUUUAUUAACCUUAAAAUUCGAAAAGAACAAAACGACCCAACUGCAUUAUCGAUAAUAUCGGCCAGCUCUGUUGAUGAGACAUCUUGCUCGCCAAAGGUCCCAUCUGUCAUUUUCGAUUUUUGUUUACAAAAUUGCACAUGGGACCUUUGGCAUGCAAGCGAGCUCUCACAGUAAUUUUGAGUUAAAUUAAUAAAAAUGGAUCCUACUCAAGACCAAUUCCGGAUAUUCAUACAAGCAGCAUCACGUCGAAGCCAAAGAUCCGCUGGCAGCAGUCACUAUGGUAGUCAACCUGCACCUCCGCAGAAAGAUGAUUCGUGCGAUGAAAAAUUCAAGCUACGGGAGAGUUGCAAAUGCCGAACCUGCACCUUCAAAAAAGGAUAAUUCAGUUUUUAAGCUCUCUAAGAGGAAAAGCGCUGAGUCGCCACGGAGCUGGAAGGAGCGCACUGGAACUUUUCAAAAUGUUUCAGGUCAGGAUGUGUCAUCAGUGUCUACCAAAUCAGCACGGCGCUCGUUGAAUUUCGAUAGUUUGCGUCCAAAUUAACUGCAGGACAGGUCAACAAUCCUUCAAAAACAGCAGCAUUCAUCGUGUUCCGUUUCAUGAAUGUUGCAAAUGCCCGUACAACGGAUUGGAUUUUGCAACAGAAUCACGCAAAGUACAACAGAUGUAGGUUAACAGUUUUAUCCAACACUCGAGUCAAAAGCAGCAAUCUCUCCUCUACAGUAGCCACGCCACCCAUAUAUUGUGCAUCCUGAUAAAAUUCAGAAAAAGAACUUCGCUCAAUUUCCUCUUCUUUAUCAACGAACUUAAGGUAACACACGAUAGACUCAUCGUGGCAUGCAUGAAAAAUCUAUGUUCAAACUAUCGUUGAAAAGAAAAUAUUUCUGUCUUAUAUCAUAUCGGUCAUUCGGUGAUCUAUCGGGUCAUAUGCUUGCUGAUAACAAGCAUGUUGAUAUA